rnacentral:rRNA from 1 species
UACAGGGGGGGCAAGCGUUGUUCGGAAUUACUGGGCGUAAAGGGCUCGUAGGCGGCCAACUAAGUCCGACGUGAAAUCCCAAAGCUUAACUUUGGAACUGCGUCGGAUACUGGAUGGCUUGAAUUCGGGAGAGGGAUGCAGAAUUCCAGGUGUAGCGGUGAAAUGCGUAGAUAUCUGGAGGAAUACCGGUGGCGAAGGCGGAUCUCUGGGCCAUUACUGACGCUGAGGAGCGAAAGCGUGGGGAGCGAACAGG